rnacentral:rRNA from 1 species
AUUGAACGCUGGCGGCAGGCCUAACACAUGCAAGUCGAGCGGAUGACGGGAGCUUGCUCCUUGAUUCAGCGGCGGACGGGUGAGUAAUGCCUAGGAAUCUGCCUGGUAGUGGGGGACAACGUUUCGAAAGGAACGCUAAUACCGCAUACGUCCUACGGGAGAAAGCAGGGGACCUUCGGGCCUUGCGCUAUCAGAUGAGCCUAGGUCGGAUUAGCUAGUUGGUGAGGUAAUGGCUCACCAAGGCGACGAUCCGUAACUGGUCUGAGAGGAUGAUCAGUCACACUGGAACUGAGACACGGUCCAGACUCCUACGGGAGGCAGCAGUGGGGAAUAUUGGACAAUGGGCGAAAGCCUGAUCCAGCCAUGCCGCGUGUGUGAAGAAGGUCUUCGGAUUGUAAAGCACUUAAAGUUGGGAGGAAGGGCAGUAAGUUAAUACCUUGCUGUUUUGACGUUACCGACAGAAUAAGCACCGGCUAACUCUGUGCCAGCCGCCGCAGUAAGAC